CGAAUUUCGUGUAUCAGCCCUCUAAUAUAUAUAUAUUUAAAGACUUUGUUAAGAAAAGUACAUAAACAUAUAAGGUGUUUGAAGACAAAUGAACACCAAUGACUCAUCACUCCUGUUAAGAAUUAGAACAAUACCAGUUCGUUAAAAGUCCCUUCUAUUUCUCUACUCUGAUGCAUCCUUCAGUCAACAUUCAAUGCUUCAAGCAUAAAAGAACACAUGCAUAUGCAAAAAUUGCUAUUAAAAUGCUAUCAUUUUCAUCUAUUAAUUCAAAGGCAUUCUCCAAAUAAUCUCGCCUCGCACCAUUUUAUUAAGACCAGUCAAGAUUACAAGAUAGGCGGGAAAAAAAGGAGACAUAUGUAAUACUACUUGUAAUACUUUAAGCAAUAAAACAAUUAAAAAAAAAUUACAAGAUAGAGAAUUAAAAUACCCCUUUCAAUUCAAACUUUUAAUUAUUUCACACUAAUUUUUUAAUCCUUAUUGAGAAUAUUUUUUAUACAAAUACUUAAAAAAUAACAAAUAUACCAAUCACACUUGAAUUUCUGCCUAAUUCAACACUGGGAUGCUUUCUCUAACACAGUGAUGGCGAACCUAUGACACACGUGUCAGAGGUGACACGCAAACUCAUUUUUUGGUUGAUUU